rnacentral:rRNA from 1 species
AACGAACGCUGGCGGCAGGCCUAACACAUGCAAGUCGAACGCUGCAGCAAUGCAGAGUGGCAGACGGGUGAGUAACGCGUGGGAACCUUCCCAGUGGUACGGAAUAGCCCAGGGAAACUUGGGGUAAUACCGUAUAAGCCCCUAGGGGGAAAGAUUUAUCGCCAUUGGAUGGGCCCGCGUCGGAUUAGCUAGUUGGUGAGGUAACGGCUCACCAAGGCGACGAUCCGUAGCUGGUCUGAGAGGAUGAUCAGCCACACUGGGACUGAGACACGGCCCAGACUCCUACGGGAGGCAGCAGUGGGGAAUAUUGGACAAUGGGCGCAAGCCUGAUCCAGCCAUGCCGCGUGAGUGACGAAGGCCUUAGGGUUGUAAAGCUCUUUUGGCGGGGACGAUAAUGACGGUACCCGCAGAAUAAGCUCCGGCUAACUUCGUGCCAGCAGCCGCAGUAA